rnacentral:rRNA from 1 species
ACGCACGCUGGCGGCAUGCCUAACACAUGCAAGUCGAACGAGACCUUCGGGUCUAGUGGCGCACGGGUGCGUAACGCGUGGGAACCUGCCCUUAGGUUCGGAAUAACUCCCCGAAAGGGGUGCUAAUACCGGAUAAUGUCUUCGGACCAAAGAUUUAUCGCCUUUGGAUGGGCCCGCGUUGGAUUAGCUAGUUGGUAGGGUAAAAGCCUACCAAGGCGACGAUCCAUAGCUGGUCUGAGAGGAUGAUCAGCCACACUGGGACUGAGACACGGCCCAGGCUCCUACGGGAGGCAGCAGUGGGGAAUAUUGGACAAUGGGCGAAAGCCUGAUCCAGCAAUGCCGCGUGAGUGAUGAAGGCCUUAGGGUUGUAAAGCUCUUUUACCCGGGAUGAUAAUGACAGUACCGGGAGAAUAAGCUCCGGCUAACUCCGUG